GUUUCAGAGAAAGCUGGUGGAAAAAGCAGCUUUGAAUCACUCGUCUCAAGAUGAUCAUAGAGCCUGCUGCCUCACUGAGAAUAUAAAUUGCCAGAGGAAUAAUUGGAAACCAUGUGGAAAGUGAAAAAAUACCAACAAUACAUGGAUUCAUUUAUGUGUGUGUAUUUUCUAGAUUUCCAGUGGGUUCAAGGAGAUGUGUGUGAAGUUCAGCUGAUGGUAUAUAACCCAAUGCCGUUUGAACUUCGAGUUGAAAACAUGGGGCUGCUCACCAGCGGAGUGGAGUUCGAGUCUCUCCCUGCGGCACUUUCUCUUCCGGCUGAAUCUGGUCUGUACCCAGUGACACUCGUCGGGGUCCCGCAGACGACUGGAACGAUUACUGUGAACGGUUACCAUACUACGGUCUUCGGUGUGUUCAGUGACUGUUUGCUGGAUAACCUGCCAGGAAUAAAAACCAGUGGCUCCACAGUCGAAGUCAUUCCCGCGUUGCCAAGACUGCAGAUCAGCACCUCUCUGCCCAGAUCUGCACAUUCAUUGCAACCUUCUUCUGGUGAUGAAAUAUCUACUAAUGUAUCUGUUCAGCUUUACAAUGGAGAAAGUCAGCAACUAAUCAUUAAAUUGGAAAAUAUUGGAAUGGAACCAUUGGAGAAACUAGAGGUCACCUCGAAAGUUCUCACCACUAAAGAAAAAUUGUAUGGCGACUUCUUGAGCUGGAAGCUAGAGGAAACCCUUGCCCAGUUCCCUUUGCAGCCUGGGAAGGUGGCCACGUUCACAAUCAACAUCAAAGUGAAGCUGGAUUUCUCCUGCCAGGAGAAUCUGCUGCAGGAUCUCAGUGAUGAUGGAAUCAGUGUGAGUGGCUUUCCCCUGUCCAGUCCUUUUCGGCAGGUCGUUCGGCCCCGAGUGGAGGGCAAACCUGUGAACCCACCCGAGAGCAACAAAGCAGGCGACUACAGCCACGUGAAGACCCUGGAAGCUAUCCUGAAUUUCAAAUACUCUGGAGGCCCGGGCCACACUGAAGGAUAUUACAGGAAUCUCUCCCUGGGGCUGCAUGUAGAAGUCGAGCCGUCUGUAUUUUUCACCCGAGUCAGCACUCUCCCAGCAACCAGUACCCGGCAGUGUCACCUGCUCCUAGAUGUCUUCAACUCCACCGAGCAUGAGCUGACCGUCAGCACCAGAAGCAGCGAGGCGCUCAUCCUGCAUGCCGGCGAGUGCCAGCGAAUGGCUAUUCAAGUGGACAAGUUCAACUUUGAGAGUUUCCCGGAGUCCCCUGGGGAGAAGGGGCAAUUUGCAAACCCCAAGCAGCUGGAGGAAGAGCGGCGGGAAGCCCGAGGCCUGGAGAUCCACAGCAAGCUGGGCAUCUGCUGGAGAAUCCCCUCCCUGAAGCGCAGCGGCGAGGCGAGUGUGGAAGGACUCCUGAACCAGCUCGUCCUGGAGCACCUGCAGCUGGCACCUCUGCAGUGGGAUGUGCUGGUGGACGGACAGCCAUGUGACCGCGAGGCUGCGGCGGCCUGCCAGGUGGGCGACCCUGUGCGCCUGGAGGUGCGGCUGACCAACCGGAGCCCGCGCAGCGUAGGGCCCUUCGCCCUCACCGUGGUCCCCUUCCAGGACCACCAGAAUGGCGUGCACAACUACGACCUGCACGACACCAUCUCCUUCGUGGGCUCCAGCACCUUCUACCUCGACGCAGUGCAGCCGUCCGGCCAGUCGGCCUGCCUCGGGGCCCUCCUCUUCCUCUACACGGGAGACUUCUUCCUCCACAUCCGGUUCCACGAGGACAGCACCAGCAAGGAGCUGCCACCCUCUUGGUUCUGCCUGCCCAGCGUGCACGUGCGCGCCCUGGAGGCGCAGGCCUGAGCCCGCCCACUUCCGUCCCUCUUUCUGCAGGGCCAGAGGUGACCCUGCCUGGCCUCUUACACCCCCUGCGAUGAGCAAGGCCUUCACUGCAGCCCCGUCUCCUCCUCCUCCCCCAACCCCCUCCCAGCCCUCUCCUCCUGUUCCUCCUGUAGCAUCUUUGCUGGGCUAC
rnacentral:sRNA from 1 species